GGGUUGUGAGGUUAAGCGACUAAGCGUACACGGUGGAUGCCCUGGCAGUCAGAGGCGAUGAAGGACGUGCUAAUCUGCGAAAAGCGUCGGUAAGGUGAUAUGAACCGUUAUAGCCGGCGAUGUCCGAAUGGGGAAACCCAGUGCAAUUCGUUGCACUAUCGUUAACUGAAUACAUAGGUUAACGAGGCGAACCGGGGGAACUGAAACAUCUAAGUACCCCGAGGAAAAGAAAUCAACCGAGAUUCCCCCAGUAGCGGCGAGCGAACGGGGAGCAGCCCAGAGUCUGAAUCAGCUUGUGUGUUAGUGGAACGGUCUGGAAAGUCCGACGGUACAGGGUGAUAGUCCCGUACACCAAAAUGCACAGGUUGUGAACUCGAAGAGUAGGGCGGGACACGUGGUAUCCUGUCUGAAUAUGGGGGGACCAUCCUCCAAGGCUAAAUACUCCUGACUGACCGAUAGUGAACCAGUACCGUGAGGGAAAGGCGAAAAGAACCCCGGCGAGGGGAGUGAAAAAGAACCUGAAACCGUGUACGUACAAGCAGUGGGAGCACCUUCGGGUGUGACUGCGUACCUUUUGUAUAAUGGGUCAGCGACUUAUAUUCUGUAGCAAGGUUAACCGUAUAGGGGAGCCGCAGGGAAACCGAGUCUUAACUGGGCGUUAAGUUGCAGGGUAUAGACCCGAAACCCGGUGAUCUAGCCAUGGGCAGGUUGAAGGUUGGGUAACACUAACUGGAGGACCGAACCGACUAAUGUUGAAAAAUUAGCGGAUGACUUGUGGCUGGGGGUGAAAGGCCAAUCAAACCGGGAGAUAGCUGGUUCUCCCCGAAAGCUAUUUAGGUAGCGCCUCGUGAACUCAUCUUCGGGGGUAGAGCACUGUUUCGGCUAGGGGGUCAUCCCGACUUACCAACCCGAUGCAAACUACGAAUACCGAAGAAUGUUAUCACGGGAGACACACGGCGGGUGCUAACGUCCGUCGUGAAGAGGGAAACAACCCAGACCGCCAGCUAAGGUCCCAAAGUCAUGGUUAAGUGGGAAACGAUGUGGGAAGGCACAGACAGCCAGGAUGUUGGCUUAGAAGCAGCCAUCAUUUAAAGAAAGCGUAAUAGCUCACUGGUCGAGUCGGCCUGCGCGGAAGAUGUAACGGGGCUAAACCAUGCACCGAAGCUGCGGCAGCGACACUAUGUGUUGUUGGGUAGGGGAGCGUUCUGUAAGCCUGCGAAGGUGUGCUGUGAGGCAUGCUGGAGGUAUCAGAAGUGCGAAUGCUGACAUAAGUAACGAUAAAGCGGGUGAAAAGCCCGCUCGCCGGAAGACCAAGGGUUCCUGUCCAACGUUAAUCGGGGCAGGGUGAGUCGACCCCUAAGGCGAGGCCGAAAGGCGUAGUCGAUGGGAAACAGGUUAAUAUUCCUGUACUUGGUGUUACUGCGAAGGGGGGACGGAGAAGGCUAUGUUAGCCGGGCGACGGUUGUCCCGGUUUAAGCAUGUAGGCUGGUUGUCCAGGCAAAUCCGGAUAAUCAAGGCUGAGGUGUGAUGACGAGGCACUACGGUGCUGAAGUAACAAAUGCCCUGCUUCCAGGAAAAGCCUCUAAGCAUCAGGUAACAUCAAAUCGUACCCCAAACCGACACAGGUGGUCAGGUAGAGAAUACCAAGGCGCUUGAGAGAACUCGGGUGAAGGAACUAGGCAAAAUGGUGCCGUAACUUCGGGAGAAGGCACGCUGGUGUGUAGGUGAAGUCCCUGCGGAUGGAGCUGAGACCAGUCGAAGAUACCAGCUGGCUGCAACUGUUUAUUAAAAACACAGCACUGUGCAAACACGAAAGUGGACGUAUACGGUGUGACGCCUGCCCGGUGCCGGAAGGUUAAUUGAUGGGGUUAUCCGUAAGGAGAAGCUCUUGAUCGAAGCCCCGGUAAACGGCGGCCGUAACUAUAACGGUCCUAAGGUAGCGAAAUUCCUUGUCGGGUAAGUUCCGACCUGCACGAAUGGCGUAAUGAUGGCCAGGCUGUCUCCACCCGAGACUCAGUGAAAUUGAACUCGCUGUGAAGAUGCAGUGUACCCGCGGCAAGACGGAAAGACCCCGUGAACCUUUACUAUAGCUUGACACUGAACAUUGAGCCUUGAUGUGUAGGAUAGGUGGGAGGCUUUGAAGCGUGGACGCCAGUCUGCGUGGAGCCAACCUUGAAAUACCACCCUUUAAUGUUUGAUGUUCUAACGUUGGCCCCUGACCGGGGUUGCGGACAGUGUCUGGUGGGUAGUUUGACUGGGGCGGUCUCCUCCCAAAGCGUAACGGAGGAGCACGAAGGUUAGCUAAUCCUGGUCGGACAUCAGGAGGUUAGUGCAAUGGCAUAAGCUAGCUUGACUGCGAGCGUGACGGCGCGAGCAGGUGCGAAAGCAGGUCAUAGUGAUCCGGUGGUUCUGAAUGGAAGGGCCAUCGCUCAACGGAUAAAAGGUACUCCGGGGAUAACAGGCUGAUACCGCCCAAGAGUUCAUAUCGACGGCGGUGUUUGGCACCUCGAUGUCGGCUCAUCACAUCCUGGGGCUGAAGUAGGUCCCAAGGGUAUGGCUGUUCGCCAUUUAAAGUGGUACGCGAGCUGGGUUUAGAACGUCGUGAGACAGUUCGGUCCCUAUCUGCCGUGGGCGCUGGAGAAUUGAGGGGGGCUGCUCCUAGUACGAGAGGACCGGAGUGGACGCAUCACUGGUGUUCGGGUUGUCAUGCCAAUGGCACUGCCCGGUAGCUAAAUGCGGAAGAGAUAAGUGCUGAAAGCAUCUAAGCACGAAACUUGCCCCGAGAUGAGUUCUCCCUGAGACUUUAAGUCUCCUGAAGGAACGUUGAAGACGACGACGUUGAUAGGCCGGGUGUGUAAGCGCAGCGAUGCGUUGAGCUAACCGGUACUAAUGAACCGUGAGGCUUAACCUUACAACGCCGAAG
rnacentral:rRNA from 1 species